rnacentral:rRNA from 1 species
GACGAACCGUGCGAACGUUGUUCGGAAUCGCUGGGCUUAAAGGGCGCGUAGGCGGGCUGUCAAGUCUGGGGUGAAAUGCUGCGGCUCAACCGUAGAACUGCCUUAGAUACUGACGGCCUCGAGGAAGGUAGGGGCAUGCGGAACUGUAGGUGGAGCGGUGAAAUGCGUUGAUAUCUACAGGAACUCCGGUGGCGAAAGCGGCGUGCUGGACCUUUUCUGACGCUGAGGCGCGAAAGCUAGGGGAGCAAACGGG